rnacentral:rRNA from 1 species
AUACGUAGGGGGCGAGCGUUGUCCGGAAUGAUUGGGCGUAAAGGGCGCGUAGGCGGCCCGGUAAGUCUGGAGUGAAAGUCCUGUUUUUAAGAUGGGAAUUGCUUUGGAUACUGUCGGGCUUGAGUGCAGGAGAGGUAAGUGGAAUUCCCAGUGUAGCGGUGAAAUGCGUAGAGAUUGGGAGGAACACCAGUGGCGAAGGCGACUUACUGGACUGUAACUGACGCUGAGGCGCGAAAGUGUGGGGAGCAAACAGGAUUAGAUACCCUGGUAGUCCACACUGUAAACGAUGAAUACUAGGUGUGGGGGGACUGACCCCCUCCGUGCCGCAGUUAACACAAUAAGUAUUCCACCUGGGGAGUACGGCCGCAAGGUUGAAACUCAAAUGAAUUGGCGGGG